GCCGAGGUAGCUCAGUUGGUAGAGCAACGGACUGAAAAUUCGUUUGUCGGCGGUUCGAUUCCGUCCCUCGGCACCA
rnacentral:tRNA from 1 species